AGAAGCACUCAGCACUGAAAAACAGGCAAAUCUUGGUAGCAGCCUCCCAUUUUUUCUUUUUCUUUUCUUUGCAGCAGUUGCCACCUGCCUUCACCUCUGCAGAAAUCUGUGGAUGUGCUGAUAUUCGUCCAAGGGAAUGGACCAUGAAGAAGGAAACAGCAGCCUAUGGAUCAGUUUCCUAAAGAGAAACAAAGGCCAAAAUUCUCAGUAGAGUGAAACUUGUCGUUUGGUUCCAAUAAGAACGCAAGGAAACGCACUAGCAAAGAGAUUUCAUUGAAAAUCCUGAGGGAUUCAAACUAGC